GCUUGUCUCAAAGAUUAAGCCAUGCAUGUCUCAGCAUAAGCUUCAACACGGUGAAACUGCAAAUGGCUCAUUAAAGCAGUUACAAUUUAUUUGAUGGUCACUGUUACAUGGAUAACUGUGGUAAUUCUAGAGCUAAUACAUGCGAAAAGACCCGACUUUGCGGAAGGGUUGCAUUUAUUAGAUACAAAACCAAUGCGGGGCAACCCGGUUGUUGGUGAUUCAUAAUAACUUUUGCGGAUCGCAUGGCCUUGAGCCGGCGACGAAUCAUUCAAAUUUCUGCCCUAUCAACUUUCGAUGGUACGGUAUUGGCCUACCAUGGUUACCACGGGUAACGGGGAAUUAGGGUUCGGUUCCGGAGAGGGGGCCUGAGAAAUGGCCACCACAUCCAAGGAAGGCAGCAGG
rnacentral:rRNA from 1 species